rnacentral:misc_RNA from 1 species
CCACUCAGAUACUCCUAAAGAGGGAAGUCCAAUUUUAAGCAACCAUUGGGAAAUAAUAAUUCUACCCAUUGAGCCAUAUAGUGCUAGCAGAAUCAAGGUUCGAACAAUGCAGAGUCCAAGACCACUGCUUCCAUGCCUGAAACAGAGAAAUGUUAAAACCAUAUUAGAAUAUCUAGGAACUCAAAUUAUUGAUUUCCUUAUUUGUUUAUUUUAGCAGUUCAACUACGAAUCUAUAUGCAAUAAAGACUCCGUGUACAUCAAUUAAAACUUUUAGUCUAGGAACUUAUGCCAGUUGUUAGGAGUUUGAUUCUUUCAAUUGCUGAGAGACAUACAACCAUGGCGUCUCUAUAAACAUUUUGCUACUCAAUCUAGUUGUUGAGGGAACCGCUUGCCUAAUGCUUCCAAAUACGAAUCCCAUUUGCUUGAGUCAAUUCCUUGCUCAGACAAGGAGAUGGGAUCUGCAAAUCAAGGAGAAAAUCCACCACAUAUCUCAUCGCAGACCUCCGAUGAUGCUUCCUCAGGUUCUUCGGUUUUCCGAUCAUCUCCCCUGCCCUCACUCUCUCUCUCUCUCCUUUCUCUCAAACAAUAAAGCAGAUCUUACUCAGACAGAGAUGAGAUCUGCAAAUCAAGGAGAAAAUAUCUCAUUGUACCCAUCAGUUAUGAUAAAACGUUGUCGUUUUGAAAGAUUGCCAUGGGCAAGGAGGUAAAACAAAGACGGCUAAGAAACGUGCAGAAGAUUCGUGAAAUCGAUUUUGGAUUUACUGUUCGCAGGCAGCUGCGCUUUAUAUUAUAGAAUAGUAAUUCAAUUGCUUUUGUGAAGCGCCAAAGGAAGAAAGAACACACCACAGCUCCCAGGAAACAAGUACAAGUGGAGUGAACCCAUUUUGAAAUCUUAAUUGGAUCGUUAAGAGAUUGUGGAUUUAUAAGGUUGUUUCCGUCUGAAUUUGGAUUGGAAGUCGAUUAUGGGAAUUUAAUUUUCCUACUCAUAUCUCUCUUCAAUUCCUGGACUUCGGAACUUGUUUUUGUGAUGUAAUAAUCGAUUAGGAUCCUCCAACAGCUAUUUCUUCCUUCAUUUUGAACAUUUCUGCUCAAAUUAAACAAAUUUGACACCAUCAACUUCAAAGUAAUCCAGUAAACUUCCAAAGUUUUUAUUUUUAUUUUUUUUAUUUUUCUUAUUCAAUUUUAAUGUUUCUUAUUCUAAUUACGUUUUUUUUUUAAUUUCCUUUUAAUUUUAGUUUCCUAUUCCAUCCAACACUUAAAUAGUUUCCUUCUAUUUAGGAUUUGUUUCUUUUUAUUUUAAUUAGGAUUAGUAUUGUUAAAAGGCAAGCGAGGUGAUCCUCUUGCACCCCCUGCAAGCGUCCCUAGUGACAGAGGCGAUAGGCGCCAAGGCCCUGAGGCGAUGCCGAUUUGAAGGAAC